GAUGAACGCUGGCGGCGUGCCUAAUACAUGCAAGUCGAGCGAACGGACGAGAAGCUUGCUUUUCUGAUGUUAGCGGCGGACGGGUGAGUAACACGUGGAUAACCUACCUAUAAGACUGGGAUAACUUCGGGAAACCGGAGCUAAUACCGGAUAAUAUUUUGAACCGCAUGGUUCAAAAGUGAAAGACGGUCUUGCUGUCACUUAUAGAUGGAUCCGCGCUGCAUUAGCUAGUUGGUAAGGUAACGGCUUACCAAGGCAACGAUGCAUAGCCGACCUGAGAGGGUGAUCGGCCACACUGGAACUGAGACACGGUCCAGACUCCUACGGGAGGCAGCAGUAGGGAAUCUUCCGCAAUGGGCGAAAGCCUGACGGAGCAACGCCGCGUGAGUGACGAAGGUCUUCGGAUCGUAAAACUCUGUUAUUAGGGAAGAACAUAUGUGUAAGUAACUGUGCACAUCUUGACGGUACCUACUCAGAAAGCCACGGCUAACUACGUG
rnacentral:rRNA from 1 species